AACAUCUCAGCAAUUCCUUCCAAUCUGAAGUUCUCUCAUCUGCUGGUAACCGGUCCAUUCCUAUUGGCGUUCAAGCAAUCACAAACACAUCCUACUUUUGAGAAAUGGUUCCAAAGGAGGAGUCAAAGCGGCUGUAAUCUUGAUUCGGUUUUAUGGGCAAUAGAAUUAUUUUACUGAUUCCUGGAAUCAUGGCUCCUAUACAUGCUGCACUCUAUGAGCACUUUGGAAAUUAAAGGAUUGCCAGCUUUUCCACUUUGGGACAAAAAA
rnacentral:lncRNA from 1 species